GUUUUGGAGAGAAAUGUAUUCUGUUGAGGAAGCAGAGCAACUCACAACUUUAAUAAGUGCAGCUAAAGAGUAUGGGGUUGAGUUCAUUUAUGCCAUUUCCCCUGGCCUGGACAUUACAUUCUCAAAUCAGAAGGAAGUGUCGGCACUUAAAAGGAAGUUAGACCAGGUCUCUCAUUUUGGGUGCAAGUCCUUUGCCUUACUGUU